CCCAUUGGUCCAGGUGAGAAGAAGAGGUCGUUGGGGCGUGACUACCACCCUCUGUGUCUGAAGUGUCAACAGUGUCAGAGACAGUUGACCCCAGGACAACAUGCAGAGCAUGAUGAGAAGCCCUACUGCACUAACUGUUACAUGAAGACGUUCGGUCCCAGAGCAGGUAAGGGGAGAAUGAUGUCAUACGGUCACAGCUCAGCCUCCUCUUCCUCUUCCUCCUCCUAGGAACCAGUCUAACCAAAAAAAAUACCAAAAUACAACCUAAUGAAAACUAACAGCCUAUCAACAAGGAUCUAUGUUCAACCAACCUGACAUUCAGCCAACAAGCCAAUGACUAAACAACUAGGCCCAACAUUCAACCAACCAACCAAUGUUCGACCAACCAAGAAAUAACCAAUAGACAACCAACCUGACAUUUAAUUAACUACUAUCCAACCAACCUGACAUUUAAUUAACUACUAUCCAACCAACAGACAUCAGUCUCACUCUGAAAGUCCCCCUCUUUCAGUCAAUUAUAAAACAACUACCUGGACCACAACUUUGUGCUCAAUGGAGACAACGGUUGUUCUUCAAUAAAACAAAAGCUCCUACAGCCGUCUUGUUGCAGUGUGUGAGUUAAACACAGGGUCCCUUUAGGCCUCAACACAUCCUUAUACUACACAUGUACUGGAGUGGACACUCCCUAGCAAGAUCAUGUCUAGAAUACCACCAGAGUUCUGA